rnacentral:rRNA from 1 species
UACGGGUGAGGCAAGCGUUGUUCGGAAUCAUUGGGCUUAAAGCGCGUGUAGGCGGCGGCGUAAGUACUUUGUGAAAUCCCUUCUCUCAAUGGAGGAAUUGCUUGGUAUACUGCGUUGCUUGAGGCAGGUAGGGGUGCUUGGAACUCUAGGUGGAGCGGUGAAAUGCGUAGAUAUCGAGAGGAACACCAGUGGCGAAGGCGAGUCCCUGGACAACUUCUGACACUGAGGCACGAAAGCCAGGGGAGCAAACGGG